AGAGCGAACGCUGGCGGCAGGCUUAACACAUGCAAGUCGAGCGGGCGUAGCAAUACGUCAGCGGCAGACGGGUGAGUAACGCGUGGGAACAUACCUUUUGGUUCGGAACAACACAGGGAAACUUGUGCUAAUACCGGAUAAGCCCUUACGGGGAAAGAUUUAUCGCCGAAAGAUUGGCCCGCGUCUGAUUAGCUAGUUGGUGAGGUAACGGCUCACCAAGGCGACGAUCAGUAGCUGGUCUGAGAGGAUGAUCAGCCACAUUGGGACUGAGACACGGCCCAAACUCCUACGGGAGGCAGCAGUGGGAAUAUUGGACAAUGGGCGCAAGCCUGAUCCAGCCAUGCCGCGUGAGUGAUGAAGGCCCUAGGGUUGUAAAGCUUCUUUUGUGCGGGAAGAUAAUGACGGUACCGCAAGAAUAACGCCCCGGACUAACUUCGCGCCAGCAGCCGC
rnacentral:rRNA from 1 species